rnacentral:rRNA from 1 species
UGGGGAAUAUUGCACAAUGGAGGGAACUCUGAUGCAGCGACGCCGCGUGAGUGAUGAAGGAUUUCGUUUCGUAAAACUCUGUUCUAUGGGAAGAAAAGGACUGUACCAUAGGAGAAAGCUCCGGCUAAAUACGUGCCAGCAGCCGCGGUAAUACGUAUGGAGCGAGCGUUGUCCGGAAUUAUUGGGCGUAAAGGGUGCGCAGGCGGCUUUACAAGUUGGAUGUGAAAUAUUGUGGCUCAACCACAAACGUGCAUCCAAAACUGCAAAGCUUGAGUGAAGGAGAGGUAAGUGGAAAUCCUGGUGUAGCGGUGGAAUGCGUAGAUAUCAGGAAGAAUACCGGUGGCGAAGGCGACUUACUGGACUUAAACUGACGCUCAGGCACGAAAGCGUGGGGAGCAAACAGG